UACGUAGGUGGCAAGCGUUGUCCGGAUUUACUGGGCGUAAAGGGCGUGCAGGCGGUUUGCUAAGUCUAGGGUGAAAGCUCCCGGCUCAACUGGGAGAGGUCCUUGGAUACUGGCGAACUUGAGGGAUGCAGAGGAAAGUGGAAUUCCCGGUGUAGUGGUGAAAUGCGUAGAGAUCGGGAGGAAUACCUGUGGCGAAGGCGGCCUACUGGGCCGGACCUGACGCUGAGACGCGAAGGCGUGGGGAGCGAACGGG
rnacentral:rRNA from 1 species